rnacentral:rRNA from 1 species
CCUACGGGAGGCAGCAGUAGGGAAUCUUCCGCCAUGGGCGAAAGCCUGACGCAGCAACGCCGCGUGAGUGAUGAAGGUCCUCGGAUCGUAAAACUCCGUUAUUAGGGAAGAACAUACGUGCACGUAACUAUGCUCGUCUUUACGUUAUCUAUACAGAAAGCCACGGCUAACUACGUGCCAGCAGCCGCGGUAAUACGUAGGUGGCAAGCGUUAUUCGGACUGAUUUGGCGUAAAGCGAGCGUAGGCGGGUUUUUAAGUCUGAUGUGAAAGCCCACGGCUCAAACGUGGAAGUUCAUUGGAUACUGUAAAACUUGAGUACAGUAGAGGAAAGUGGAAUUCCGGGUGUAGCGGUGAAAUGCGUAGAGAUAUGGAAGAACACCGGUGGCGAAGGCGACUUUCUAAUCUGUAACUGACACUGAUGUGCGAAAGCGUGGGUAUCAAACAGGAUUAGAUACCCCAGUAGUC